GGACGAACGCUGGCGGCGCGCCUAACACAUGCAAGUCGAACGGAGCUUAGAGAGCUUGCUUUUUAAGCUUAGUGGCGAACGGGUGAGUAACGCGUGAGUAACCUGCCCUAGAGUGGGGGACAACAGUUGGAAACGACUGCUAAUACCGCAUAAGCCCACGGUACCGCAUGGUACUGAGGGAAAAGGAUUUAUUCGCUUUAGGAUGGACUCGCGUCCAAUUAGCUAGUUGGUGAGGUAACGGCCCACCAAGGCGACGAUUGGUAGCCGGACUGAGAGGUUGAACGGCCACAUUGGGACUGAGACACGGCCCAGACUCCUACGGGAGGCAGCAGUGGGGGAUAUUGCACAAUGGGGGAAACCCUGAUGCAGCGACGCCGCGUGGAGGAAGAAGGUUUUCGGAUUGUAAACUCCUGUCGUUAGGGACGAUAAUGACGGUACCUAACAAGAAAGCACCGGCUAACUACGUGCCAGCAGCCGCGGUAAAACGUAGGGUGCAAGCGUUGUCCGGAAUUACUGGGUGUAAAGGGAGCGCAGGCGGGAAGACAAGUUGGAAGUGAAAACCAUGGGCUCAACCCAUGAAUUGCUUUCAAAACUGUUUUUCUUGAGUAGUGCAGAGGUAGAUGGAAUUCCCGGUGUAGCGGUGGAAUGCGUAGAUAUCGGGAGGAACACCAGUGGCGAAGGCGGUCUACUGGGCACCAACUGACGCUGAGGCUCGAAAGCAUGGUAGCAAACAGGAUUAGA
rnacentral:rRNA from 1 species